rnacentral:rRNA from 1 species
GAUGAACGCUAGCUACAGGCUUAACACAUGCAAGUCGGGGGGCAGCGGUAUCGAAAGCUUGCUUUCGGUAGCCGGCGACCGGCGCACGGGUGAGUAACGCGUAUCGAACCUGCCUCAUACUCGGGAAUAGCCUUGCGAAAGUAAGAUUAGUGCCCGGUGUUUUCAGAGUCCCGCAUGAGGCUUUGAACAAAGAUUUAUCGGUAUGAGAUGGCGAUGCGUCCCAUUAGCUUGUUGGCGGGGUAACGGCCCACCAAGGCAUCGAUGGGUAGGGGUUCUGAGAGGAAGGUCCCCCACAUUGGAACUGAGACACGGUCCAAACUCCUACGGGAAGCAGCAGUGAGGAAUAUUGGUCAAUGGGCGGAAGCCUGAACCAGCCAAGUAGCGUGCAGGAAGACGGCCCUCCGGGUUGUAAACUGCUUUUAGUUGGGAAUAAAACGGGGCUCGUGAGCCCCCUUGCAUGUACCAUCAGAAAAAGGACCGGCUAAUUCCGUG